AGUUAAUGAGCUUGAAUAAGCGUAUGUUUUGAAAACAUAAGAUAAAAAUUCAUACUUUUUAUUGACUU
rnacentral:tRNA from 1 species